UGGUUCCCAACUGAACUACAACAGAACAAACACGGAUAUACCAAAAACAUAAAUCCACAAGUUUCAACGAUAUGCAAAUUCUAGUUGGGAAAUGUGACAACUUAAAUUGCACUAUUAACUUCGACAUAAAGAGAUGCCUGGGACAAGAACAUCCCGCAUCAAAAAGCUUCAUAAUCGACCUAUUCAAACUUGAGUCUCGUCUUUCGGAGAA
rnacentral:misc_RNA from 1 species